UCGGGAAUUUUGGGCAGUGGGCGAAAGCCUGACCCAGCAACGCCGCGUGAAGGAUGAAGUAUUUCGGUAUGUAAACUUCGUAAGAAUAGGAAGAAUAAAUGACGGUACUAUUUGUAAGGUCCGGCUAACUACGUGCCAGCAGCCGCGGUAAUACGUAGGGACCAAGCGUUGUUCGGAUUUACUGGGCGUAAAGGGCGCGUAGGCGGUGUGUCAAGUCAGUUGUGAAAUCUCCGAGCUUAACUCGGAACGGUCAACUGAUACUGUCACACUAGAGUACAGAAGGGGCAAUCGGAAUUCUUGGUGUAGCGGUGAAAUGCGUAGAUAUCAAGAGGAACACCUGAGGCGAAGGCGGGUUGCUGGGCUGAUACUGACGCUGAGGCGCGAAAGCUAGGGUAGCAAACGGGAUUAGAUACCCCCGUAGUCCCUGAGCGGGCUGGCAAGGCGCAU
rnacentral:rRNA from 1 species